AACAACAAUGGCAGACGGCACAAAGAGAGGAAGAAUAAAAACAUGUAACUGACAAGAAAAGUUCAAAAGCUGGCUGAAGAUCUGCGCUGAAGAAUUUUGCUCACUUCUCCAGCGCCUGAGGAGAGUUUACUGAUGCUGUUUGCUUGCAGCCAGAGGCCUCAAAAGCUGCUGUAAAGGUAGACAGCUCAUCAAGAUGAGUGACAAAGCUUCUGGGCAGGAACAACAGCAGCAGCAGAGGAGGAGAAGAGGACCAGACUAACAAUAGAGUUUGUGCCCGUAGGCGAAACCUGGAGGAGAGACGAUCGUUGAAUCCUGCCACUACCAUCCCAUCAACGUGUCGCAGAGCGCGAGAGCUGAACUCCCACCUGCUUCCUCAGAGCGGGUAAACAAAUGUGCCAGAAGAUGUCUCCCAUCACCCUCCCAGCAGACGAAGAGGAGGGGGUUCGGAGAGGCAGAAGCUGCUUCCUAUCACAAAUAU